UGAUACCCUGGUAGUCCACGCUGUAAACGAUGUCGACUUGGAGGUUGUUCCCUUGAGGAGUGGCUUCCGGAGCUAACGCGUUAAGUCGACCGCCUGGGGAGUACGGCCGCAAGGUUAAAACUCAAAUGAAUUGACGGGGGCCCGCACAAGCGGUGGAGCAUGUGGUUUAAUUCGAUGCAACGCGAAGAACCUUACCUACUCUUGACAUCCAGAGAAUUUAGCAGAGAUGCUUUGGUGCCUUCGGGAACUCUGAGACAGGUGCUGCAUGGCUGUCGUCAGCUCGUGUUGUGAAAUGUUGGGUUAAGUCCCGCAACGAGCGCAACCCUUAUCCUUUGUUGCCAGCGGUUCGGCCGGGAACUCAAAGGAGACUGCCAGUGAUAAACUGGAGGAAGGUGGGGAUGACGUCAAGUCAUCAUGGCCCUUACGAGUAGGGCUACACACGUGCUACAAUGGCAUAUACAAAGAGAAGCGACCUCGCGAGAGCAAGCGGACCUCAUAAAGUAUGUCGUAGUCCGGAUCGGAGUCUGCAACUCGACUCCGUGAAGUCGGAAUCGCUAGUAAUCGUGGAUCAGAAUGCCACGGUGAAUACGUUCCCGGGCCUUGUACACACCGCCCGUCACACCAUGGGAGUGGGUUGCAAAAGAAGUAGGUAGCUUAACC
rnacentral:rRNA from 1 species